CAGUAGCCGCGGUAAUACGAAGGGUGCAAGCGUUAAUCGGAAUUACUGGGCGUAAAGCGUGCGUAGGCGGUGAGUUAAGUCUGCUGUGAAAUCCCCGGGCUCAACCUGGGAAUUGCAGUGGAUACUGGCUCGCUAGAGUGUGUCAGAGGAUGGUAGAAUUCCCGGUGUAGCGGUGAAAUGCGUAGAGAUCGGGAGGAACAUCAGUGGCGAAGGCGGCCAUCUGGGACAACACUGACGCUGAGGCACGAAAGCGUGGGGAGCAAACAGGAUUAGAUACCCCCGUAGUCCCUGUCUCUUAUAC
rnacentral:rRNA from 1 species